CUCCGACGUCCUUCCAGAUCUUUGACUGCUCCCGGCUGAAGUUCUCCGAGAUCCCGCAGAGGCUGACCAACCUCCUGCUCCCCCCGGAUCCCAUUGUCAUCAACCACAUCAUCAGCGUGGACCCCAACGACCAGAAGAAGACGGCCUGCUACGACAUCGACGUGGAGGUGGAAGACCCCCUCAAAGGGCAGAUGAGCAGCUUCCUGCUCUCCACCGCCAAUCAACAGGAGAUCACCGCCCUGGACAACAAGAUCCACGAGACGAUCGAGUCCAUCAACCAGCUGAAGAUCCAGCGAGACUUCAUGCUCAGCUUCUCCAGGGACCCCAAGGGCUACAUCCAGGACCUCCUCCGCUCCCAGAGUAGGGAUCUCAAGGUCGGUCGGGGCGGGG